AGUGAACGCUGGCGGUAGGCCUAACACAUGCAAGUCGAACGGCAGCACAGUAAGAGCUUGCUCUUACGGGUGGCGAGUGGCGGACGGGUGAGGAAUACAUCGGAAUCUACUUUUUCGUGGGGGAUAACGUAAGGAAACUUACGCUAAUACCGCAUACGACCUACGGGUGAAAGCAGGGGAUCUUCGGACCUUGCGCGAUUGAAUGAGCCGAUGUCGGAUUAGCUAGUUGGCGGGGUAAAGGCCCACCAAGGCGACGAUCCGUAGCUGGUCUGAGAGGAUGAUCAGCCACACUGAACUGAGACACGGUCCAGACUCCUACGGGAGGCAGCAGUGGGGAAUAUUGGACAAUGGGCGCAAGCCUGAUCCAGCCAUACCGCGUGGGUGAAGAAGGCCUUCGGGUUGUAAAGCCCUUUUGUUGGGAAAGAAAAGCAGCAGGUUAAUACCCCGCUGUUCUGACGGUACCCAAAGAAUAAGCACCGGCUAACUUCGUG
rnacentral:rRNA from 1 species